UUUCCCCCUUCCCCAUCCUUCUGUCAUCCCUGCCCCUUCUUGCAGGCAUGUAGGGGGUCCCAGGAUAUCUCUCUUGUCUAGUACAGAAAAAAAAAAAAACCCUGCCAGAGGCAACGUGGAAAAGCUGAAAAGAUGGAGUCAGCCCCUUCGGGCACAAUACAGCUAGAUUUAAGAUUGGCCCAAACUGCCAGGCCUUGGGAUGGGACAAGCCUUGGAGUCCUUAUCUGUGAAAUGCAGAGAUGGAUGGUCACUCCCCAGGAUUGCUGUGAGGAUUAUGUCAGAAACCAUUUACAGAAGCAGCCAAGACAGCCUGAGCCAGUGUCAGCCCUGCCAGAGAGGACCACACCCUGGGAAGUAAGAGAAGGAACAGAAGAAGCCUGGGUCCCUCGUAACCUCUUCCGGCAAAAUGCCCUACCUACAAAAUGGCCUGCCUACUUCUGGACGGUUAAGAGAUAGUACACUAUCACAGUAAAACUGAUUUGAGGAUUUCUUUUGGUUCAG
rnacentral:lncRNA from 1 species